AGUGAACGCUGGCGGUAGGCCUAACACAUGCAAGUCGAACGGCAGCACAGUAAGAGCUUGCUCUUACGGGUGGCGAGUGGCGGACGGGUGAGGAAUACAUCGGAAUCUACUUUUUCGUGGGGGAUAACGUAGGGAAACUUACGCUAAUACCGCAUACGACCUACGGGUGAAAGCAGGGGAUCUUCGGACCUUGCGCGAUUGAAUGAGCCGAUGUCGGAUUAGCUAGUUGGCGGGGUAAAGGCCCACCAAGGCGACGAUCCGUAGCUGGUCUGAGAGGAUGAUCAGCCACACUGGAACUGAGACACAGUAGAGACUCCUAGAGUGGGCAGCGGUGGGGAAUAUUGGACGAUGGGCGCAAGCCUGAUCCAGCCAUACCGGGUGGGUGAAGAAGGCCUUCGGGUUGUAAAGCCCUUUUGUUGGGAAAGAAGAGCAGCAGGUUAAUACCCCGCUGUUCUGACGGUACCCAAAGAAUAAGCACCGGCUAACUUCGUG
rnacentral:rRNA from 1 species